UACGUAGGGGCCUAGCGUUGUCCGGAUUUAUUGGGCGUAAAGAGCUCGUAGGCGGUUCGGCAAGUCGGAUGUGAAAUCUCCACGCUUAACGUGGAGGGGCCAUUCGAAACUGCCGUGACUCGAGUCCGGUAGGGGAGUGUGGAAUUCCCGGUGUAGCGGUGAAAUGCGCAGAUAUCGGGAGGAACACCUGUGGCGAAAGCGGCUCACUGGACCAUUACUGACGCUGAUGCUCGAAAGCUAGGGGAGCAAACAGG
rnacentral:rRNA from 1 species